GCUUCAAAUUUGAAAUCUGGCGCCUUCGGCGUCCGAGUUGUAAUUUGCAGAGGAUGCUUCGGCGUCGGCACCGGUCUAAGUUCCUUGGAACAGGACGUCACAGAGGGUGAGAAUCCCGUACGUGGCCGGCCGCCGUCGCCGUGUGAAGCUCCUUCGACGAGUCGAGUUGUUUGGGAAUGCAGCUCUAAAUGGGAGGUAAAUUUCUUCUAAAGCUAAAUACCGGCCAGAGACCGAUAGCGCACAAGUAGAGUGAUCGAAAGAUGAAAAGCACUUUGGAAAGAGAGUUAAACAGCACGUGAAAUUGUUGAAAGGGAAGCGGUUGCCACCAGACUUGACCGCGGGCGCUCAACCGGGCUUCUGCCCGGUGCACUCGUCCGCGGGCAGGCCAGCAUCAGUUCGGGCGGUCGGAUAAAGGCCUCGGGAAUGUGGCUCCCCUCGGGGAGUGUUAUAGCCCGGGGCGUAAUACGGCCAGCCUGGACUGAGGUCCGCGCUUCGGCUAGGAUGCUGGCGUAAUGGUUGCAACCGGCCCGUCUU
rnacentral:rRNA from 1 species